AAGUCGUAACAAGGUUUCCGUAGGUGAACCUGCGGAAAGGGAUCAUUUAUUGAGAUAGGUUCAGAAGCCUAUUAGGUCCACCCCAAACGCUUGAAAUAUUAGCGGAAUGGGCAGUAAUACCAAUCGGCAUGACCGUUUGAAUCCAAGGGCCAGCUAUCCCACCCGUGUAUAUAUACUCUGUUGCUUUUCCGGGCGUUCAUACCCCCGGAGAGAAACCCCAACUCAUUGAAUUUUAUGGAACGUCUGAGUACUAUAUAAUAGUUAAAA
rnacentral:misc_RNA from 1 species